GGAGUUUGGGCCGUGUCUCAGUCCCAAUGUGGCCGAUCACCCUCUCAGGUCGGCUAUGGAUCGUAGGCUUGGUGGGCCGUUACUCCGCCAACUACCUAAUCCAACGCGGGCCCAUCGUAUGCCGAUAAAUCUUUUCACACUGUACCAUGCGGUACUGUGCGCUUAUGCGGUAUUAGCAGCCGUUUCCAACUGUUGUCCCCCUGCAUACGGCAGGUUGCCCACGCGUUACUCACCCGUCCGCCACUAAGAUGUAAAUUCAAUCGGCCGAAGCCUCUGUCGUAAACAUCUCCGUUCGACUUGCAUGUGUUAAGCACGCCGCCAGCGUUCAUC
rnacentral:rRNA from 1 species